rnacentral:rRNA from 1 species
AAGACCUUGCACUUUUGGAGCGGCCGAUGUCUGAUUAGCUAGUUGGUGGGGUAAUGGCCUACCAAAGCUUCGAUCAGUAGCUGGUCUGAGAGGACGGCCAGCCACACUGGGACUGAGACACGGCCCAGACUCCUACGGGAGGCAGCAGUGGGGAAUUUUGGACAAUGGGCGCAAGCCUGAUCCAGCCAUGCCGCGUGAGUGAAGAAGGCCUUCGGGUUGUAAAGCUCUUUCAGUCGGGAAGGAAAGGUUGCGACUAAUAAUCGCAAUUCAUGACGGUACCGAAAGAAGAAGCACCGGCUAACUACGUGCCAGCAGCCGCGGUAAUACGUAGGGUGCGAGCGUUAAUCGGAAUUACUGGGCGUAAAGGGUGCGCAGGCGGUUUUGUAAGUCAGAUGUGAAAUCCCCGGGCUUAACCUGGGAACU